rnacentral:rRNA from 1 species
GUGGGGAAUAUUCCGCAAUGGACGAAAGUCUGACGGAGCAACGCCGCGUGAGUGAUGAAGGUUUUCGGACUGUAAAGCUCUGUUGUUUGGGACGAAAGUGCCUGUUGCGAACAGUUACGGGUAUUGACGGUACUAAACGAGGAAGCCACGGCUAACUACGUGCCAGCAGCCGCGGUAAUACGUAGGUGGCAAGCGUUGUCCGGAAUUAUUGGGCGUAAAGAGCAUGUAGGCGGGAAUCUAAGUCUGUUGUGAAAAUGCGGGGCUCAACCCCGUAUUGCGAUGGAAACUGGGUUUCUUGAGUGCAGGAGAGGAAAGGGGAAUUCCCAGUGUAGCGGUGAAAUGCGUAGAUAUUGGGAGGAACACCAGUGGCGAAGGCGCCUUUCUGGACUGUGUCUGACGCUGAGAUGCGAAAGCCAGGGUAGCGAACGGGAUUAGAUACCCGGGUAGUCC